rnacentral:piRNA from 1 species
UGGGUACGACUCAUAUCCCACGCAG